rnacentral:rRNA from 1 species
UGCCCUAGUAACGGCGAGUGAAGCGGCAACAGCUCAAAUUUGAAAGCUAGCCUUCGGGUUCGCAUUGUAAUUUGUAGAGGAUGAUUUGGGGAAGCCGCCUGUCUAAGUUCCUUGGAACAGGACGUCAUAGAGGGUGAGAAUCCCGUAUGUGACAGGAAAUGGCACCCUAUGUAAAUCUCCUUCGACGAGUCGAGUUGUUUGGGAAUGCAGCUCUAAAUGGGAGGUAAAUUUCUUCUAAAGCUAAAUAUUGGCGAGAGACCGAUAGCGCACAAGUAGAGUGAUCGAAAGAUGAAAAGCACUUUGGAAAGAGAGUUAAAAAGCACGUGAAAUUGUUGAAAGGGAAGCGCUUGCAAUCAGACUUGUUUAAACUGUUCGGCCGGUCUUCUGACCGGUUUACUCAGUUUGGACAGGCCAGCAUCAGUUUCGGCGGCCGGAUAAAGGCUCUGGGAAUGUGGCCUCCACUUCGGUGGAGGUGUUAUAGCCCAGGGUGUAAUACGGCCAGCCGGGACUGAGGUCCGCGCUUCGGCUAGGAUGCUGGCG